UAAAAUUUUAAAAAACCCUGCUCUUUAAAAAUUUCAAUAUAGCUCUUACAUAUUUCAUGUGCUUAAAACUGUUUGUAUUCCCUUGUCUGAAAACUUUUAUUAAUAUAUUUUAAUCCUUUUGAACUAUUGGUCUUUUUGUUAUUGAUUUAUAGGAGUUCUUCAUAAAUUAGGAAAAUUAGCUCCUUGUCUACGAUAUGAGUUGUAAAUAUUUUCCCACAUUUCCAUUUGUCUUUAGACUUGGAAAUGCGUUGCCCACAUUAUUUUAUUUUUAUGUGUGUCAAUCUUUUCCAGGUUUUUGUGUCUUUCUUAGAAAGGCCUUCCUCACUCCAAGGUUGUCAUUACAACUGUUUAGAAACAUGCAUUUGUACUGAGAAGAGAGCAGCUGUUUUGCCAGGAUGAUGGAAUGUGGGAAGAUCCCUUCUGUUACGUAUUUCCUCUAGUAUUGCUAUCACAUAUGGGGAUACUAUUUUAAAAUAAAUGCCAUGGCCAAAGCAUGGUGUUGGUGCUUCUGAAAUGUUCUAGAACCAUGUUACUAGCUAUGACACGGACCCCUCCAUGCCUUGAUGAUGACUAGGCCUAAAGACCCUUCACCUACACAGGCCACUCAUGGUAUUGAGAGGUGCCUUAGCAACAGAUAAUCAUUAUUAUACCUUUUCUUAAAUUUGACAAAGUAAGGGAUUUGAACUGCAGUGGGUUCAGUCUGCCAGCAGUUCACAUUCUAACCCCUCCUAGAGGUGGGGGUGGGGGGGAAUGUAAAUUGUGUUGUAAUUCUGUGUUCUUUCUCAUAGCAGGCACUCCAGCAUCAGUCCCAUAAAACCUGGACUUACUACAGUAUCUACCUAGGAAGCACCAAAUAGCAUCUUGCACUGAUACCACGCUCUUAGAAGAGUCCAGCUGCUGGACGCAACCUGCAGAGGGACCGUAGAGAAGAUAAGGCUGGAGUGGGAAAGGAAGAAGAGGGAGUGAGGGUUUGGAACGGGAUGGUGCUGGAGGCAAUUAGGUAAUAACUUACCUGAGGACAACUUGAACCCAGAGCACUGUCUUUCAGAAGUCUACCAGCAUUACAGAAAACGCCUCUCUAAUUUUGGCCGUGGCUCCAACAGUAACUCAGAAAGAAGGCAAGACACUGGACAAGUAGCUGCAGCGCUCUUAGAGGUCACUGUGGAGGUGAGGAAGGCACAGCAGAGUGGAAAGGGCCCAAGCUUUGCCAACAGUAGAACCUGGACUUCAGCCUUCUCU
rnacentral:lncRNA from 1 species